UCUUAAUGAAAUUAAAUUAGUUAACAGAUGACUAAAUAUUAAUCAAUCGACCAUCAUUUUCAUCAUUCAUUCAUCAAGGUUGUGUGUGUCCAUCGCACACACACCUGUUAACCCUUAAGAUUUUUUUCAAAUUUUUCAACUUAAAUUAGAAUUUCAAGAAAAUUUGGUGAUAAAUUCUUAAAAGGCCUUAUUAUUAUUUUAAAAACUUAUCUUAAAUCAUCUUUAUUUGUAUGAUGCCUUAUCUAUCAAACAAUCACCAUUACUAACAAUAAUAAUUAUUGUAAAGAUCAAUAACUAAACGUAAUAUAAUCUUAUUAAACACUAACCAAAAUCCUGGUUUAUUAUUCAUUUAUUUGUAAUGUGUGAUGUAAACUUGAAAUUUUUUCAAUUUAUCCUUAGAAUUCAUUGACUACAAAACAGAUUUUAUUUUCAGAAUUUUUAUCCCAUAAAAGAAUUUUUCCUAUACUGCUCAUGUGAUUCAUUUUUUUUGUCGCUAAUCGAUUUGUGCCCUCAAAAAAAAUUUCAAUUAAAAAAAUCAAGGAAAACUUUCAACUCUCGAACUUCCAUUUUGUUCUAUUCGAUUUUUGUUGUUGUUCAUAAUUUGUCCAUACUAUUUUUUCCAACAAUUCCCUUUCAAAUGUCGAUGGCCAUUAUAUAAUGAUGUGGUAAAGAUUUUGUCGUCGUCAUCAUCAUAAUAAUCAUAACGACAAAAAAAAUAUCUAAAAUAUUGCAACA